rnacentral:rRNA from 1 species
UACGUAGGGAGCGAGCGUUAUCCGGAAUUAUUGGGUGUAAAGGGUGCGUAGACGGGAAAGCAAGUUAGUUGUGAAAUCCCUCGGCUUAACUGAGGAACUGCAACUAAAACUACUUUUCUUGAGUGCAGGAGAGGUAAGUGGAAUUCCUAGUGUAGCGGUGAAAUGCGUAGAUAUAUGGAGGAACACCGGUGGCGAAAGCGGCUCUCUGGCCUGUAACUGACACUGAGGCUCGAAAGCGUGGGGAGCAAACAGG